GGAUUGUUGGCUCAGGGGUCGAGCACCGGCGCAAGCCGGCUACGGUGGUUCGAAUCCACCACAGUCCGCCA
rnacentral:tRNA from 1 species